GACGGAGGGUGCAAGCGUUGUUCGGAUUGACUGGGCGUAAAGGGCGUGUAGGCGGUCGGCCAAGUCUGAUGUGAAAGCCCGGGGCUCAGCUCCGGAAGUGCGUCGGAAACUAGUCGGCUGGAGCGCGAUAGAGGAGGGUGGAAUUCCUGGUGUAGCGGUGAAAUGCGUAGAUAUCAGGAGGAACACCGGCGGCGAAGGCGGCCCUCUGGAUCGUUGCUGACGCUGAGACGCGAAAGCGUGGGGAGCAAACAGG
rnacentral:rRNA from 1 species